rnacentral:rRNA from 1 species
GACGAACGCUGGCGGCGUGCUUAACACAUGCAAGUCGAACGGAAAGGCCCUGCUUUUGUGGGGUGCUCGAGUGGCGAACGGGUGAGUAACACGUGAGUAACCUGCCCCUGACUUUGGGAUAACUUCAGGAAACUGGGGCUAAUACCGGAUAGGAGCUCCUGCUGCAUGGUGGGGGUUGGAAAGUUUCGGCGGUUGGGGAUGGACUCGCGGCUUAUCAGCUUGUUGGUGGGGUAGUGGCUUACCAAGGCUUUGACGGGUAGCCGGCCUGAGAGGGUGACCGGCCACAUUGGGACUGAGAUACGGCGCAGACUCCUACGGGAGGCAGCAGUGGGGAAUAUUGCACAGUGGGCGGAAGCCUGAUGCAGCAACGCCGCGUGCGGGAUGACGGCCUUCGGGUUGUAAACCGCUUUCGCCUGUGACGAAGCGUGAGUGACGGUAAUGGGUAAAGAAGCACCGGCUAACUACGUG